AACUGGGAUUAGAUACCCUACUAUGCUUAACCAUAAAUAGACCUUUAUCAUCACUUACUUUGUUUAAGUCCGCCUGAGUACUACAAGCGCUAGCUUAAAACCCAAAGGACUUGGCGGUGCCCCAGACCCCCCUAGAGGAGCCUGUUCUA
rnacentral:rRNA from 1 species